GUGGGGAAUAUUGGGCAAUGGGCGCAAGCCUGACCCAGCAACGCCGCGUGAGGGAAGAAGGUUUUCGGAUUGUAAACCUCUGUCGCAGAUGACGAAGGAAGUGACGGUAAUCUGUGAGGAAGCCCCGGCUAACUACGUGCCAGCAGCCGCGGUAAUACGUAGGGGGCGAGCGUUGUCCGGAAUUACUGGGCGUAAAGGGAGCGUAGGCGGUCGAUUAAGUUGGAUGUGAAAUACCCGGGCUUAACUUGGGGGGUGCAUCCAAUACUGGUUGACUAGAGUACAGGAGAGGAAAGCGGAAUUCCUAGUGUAGCGGUGAAAUGCAUAGAUAUUAGGAGGAACAUCGGUGGCGAAGGCGGCUUUCUGGACUGACACUGACGCUGAGGCUCGAAAGCGUGGGGAGCAAACAGGAUUAGAUACCCGUGUAGUCC
rnacentral:rRNA from 1 species